GCGAUUAACUGUACGGGUUACAGCGUCCGCCUUCCAAGCGGUACUGAGUGGGGUUCGAUUCCCCCUAGUCGCUCCA
rnacentral:tRNA from 3 species